rnacentral:rRNA from 1 species
CCACGGGUGGCUGCAGUGGGGAAUAUUGGACAAUGGGCGAAAGCCUGAUCCAGCCAUGCCGCGUGUGUGAAGAAGGCCUUCGGGUUGUAAAGCACUUUCAGUGGGGAAGAAAGCCUUGGGGCUAAUACCCUCGAGGAAGGACAUCACCCACAGAAGAAGCACCGGCUAACUCCGUGCCAGCAGCCGCGGUAAUACGGAGGGUGCGAGCGUUAAUCGGAAUUACUGGGCGUAAAGCGCGCGUAGGCGGUCUGAUAAGCCGGUUGUGAAAGCCCCGGGCUCAACCUGGGAACGGCAUCCGGAACUGUCAGGCUAGAGUGCAGGAGAGGAAGGUAGAAUUCCCGGUGUAGCGGUGAAAUGCGUAGAGAUCGGGAGGAAUACCAGUGGCGAAGGCGGCCUUCUGGACUGACACUGACGCUGAGGUGCGAAAGCGUGGGUAGCAAACAGGAUUAGAUACCCCAGUAGUC